AGUGAACGCUGGCGGUAGGCCUAACACAUGCAAGUCGAACGGCAGCACAGAGGAGCUUGCUCCUUGGGUGGCGAGUGGCGGACGGGUGAGGAAUACAUCGGAAUCUACUUUUCGUGGGGGAUAACGUAGGGAAACUUACGCUAAUACCGCAUACGACCUACGGGUGAAAGCAGGGGAUCUUCGGACCUUGCGCGAUUGAAUGAGCCGAUGUCGGAUUAGCUAGUUGGCGGGGUAAAGGCCCACCAAGGCGACGAUCCGUAGCUGGUCUGAGAGGAUGAUCAGCCACACUGGAACUGAGACACGGUCCAGACUCCUACGGGAGGCAGCAGUGGGGAAUAUUGGACAAUGGGCGCAAGCCUGAUCCAGCCAUACCGCGUGGGUGAAGAAGGCCUUCGGGUUGUAAAGCCCUUUUGUUGGGAAAGAAAUCCAGCUGGUUAAUACCCGGUUGGGAUGACGGUACCCAAAGAAUAAGCACCGGCUAACUUCGUGCCAGCCGCCGCCGUAA
rnacentral:rRNA from 1 species